GAGUUGUGUGUUUAAAAUCAGCUCAAAAGACCUCUAUUUAUAGGGGUUAAAAGAGUUAUGGCCGUUGCUUAAUUGAUAGAAAAUUAUACUGAUUCUGUGCUCAGACAAUCGAUUGUCUAGUCUCUACAAUCGAUUGUGUGACCAAUUUUCACAAGACAGAUCCCUGAUUUUAAGGAAAAACUAACGUUUAAAAAUUAUUCCAGGAUUCAGUGCUUCAACAAUCGAUUGUCAAAUAAGUACAAUCGAUUGUGGUUCAAAGUUUCAAAAUCUAACGGUCUCAGUACAAUCGAUUGUGGAAUUCAACAAUCGAUUGUGGAAAGCAUACAAUCGAU
rnacentral:lncRNA from 1 species